AACUAAUUUAUAUAAGUGUGAGAGGAGUUGGAACACAUAGAAUGGGUACAUUCUAAGAAUGGUAUGUGUAAUAAUGAGGGUAUUUGGCCAGUAAUGCUUAGAAUGAUGGAGUGUUUAGAGCAGUACUGUACCAAUGCAGCCACAAAAUGAAAAUUUAAAUCUUUCAUAUUAAUUUUUUAACAUGUGACAUUAAUUUAGAUAAUAUUUUUGGCAGUCAGAGUUUG